rnacentral:rRNA from 1 species
GACGAACGCUGGCGGCGUGCCUAAUACAUGCAAGUAGAACGCUGAAGAGAGGAGCUUACUCUUCUUGGAUGAGUUGCGAACGGGUGAGUAACGCGUAGGUAACCUGCCUUGUAGCGGGGGAUAACUAUUGGAAACGAUAGCUAAUACCGCAUAACAAUGGAUGACACAUGUCAUUUAUUUGAAAGGGGCAAUUGCUCCACUACAAGAUGGACCUGCGUUGUAUUAGCUAGUAGGUGAGGUAAUGGCUCACCUAGGCGACGAUACAUAGCCGACCUGAGAGGGCGAUCGGCCACACUGGGACUGAGACACGGCCCAGACUCCUACGGGAGGCAGCAGUAGGGAAUCUUCGGCAAUGGGGGCAACCCUGACCGAGCAACGCCGCGUGAGUGAAGAAGGUUUUCGGAUCGUAAAGCUCUGUUGUAAGUCAAGAACGGGUGUGAGAGUGGAAAGUUCACACUGUGACGGUAGCUUACCAGAAAGGGACGGCUAACUACGUG